GACGAACGCUGGCGGCGUGCUUAACACAUGCAAGUCGAACGGAAAGGCCCUGCUUUUGUGUGGUGCUCGAGUGGCGAACGGGUGAGUAACACGUGAGUAACCUGCCCUUGACUUUGGGAUAACUUCAGGAAACUGGGGCUAUUACCGGAUAGGAGCUCCUGCUGCAUGGUGGGGGUUGGAAAGUUUCGGCGGUUGGGGAUGGACUCGCGGCUUAUCAGCUUGUUGGUGGGGUAGUGGCUUACCAAGGCUUUGACGGGUAGCCGGCCUGAGAGGGUGAACGGCCACAUUGGGACUGAGAUACGGCCCAGACGCCUACGGGACGCAGCAGUGGGGAAUAUUGCACAAUGGGCGGAAGCCUGAUGCAGCAACGCCGGGUGCGGGAUGACGGCCUUCGGGUUGUAAACCGCUUUCGCCUGUGACGAAGCGUGAGUGACGGUAAUGGGUAAAGAAGCAACGGCUAACUACGUG
rnacentral:rRNA from 1 species